CGCAGAGACAAUGCAGCCUGCACCAAACACAAUUUAUCUGCUGCCUGAUUGUGGGCCUUUCAGAAAGCAGCCCCCGUCUGCCCGCCGGACCGACCGCCUGCGUGUCUGGGGAUUUAUUGCCGGAUGAAGUAAGCCUGUGAAUGGAGUGACGUGCUCUGUCAGAGAGAAAGAGAGAGAGAGAGAGAGAGAGAGAGAGAGAGUGAACGAGGUAGGACAAACAGGACCUUUGAGUAAUCUUCACCUCUCCUAUCCUCCCCUACAGGAAAAUCAAGUGUCCUCAUUCAUUGCACUGGGAUCAAUGUGAGCCUGGCUGUAAAAAUUGACAAAUUACUUAUUAGUUUCACAACAUUUUUUCUUCUGACUGAUUAACUUGCAGGGAGGUGCCAGAAUGCAUCACAUUCUUCUCCAUAUAGGCUCUGAGUGAGCACUGUGUGACUGGGCAUGGUAUAUUAUUUUACUGUGAAAAGACACUACUACAAUACAAUACUAGAGCAAAAGUCAUAUUUGGAAUAAGUAGUAGAUUUGUAGUAGAAAAGUGCUAGACUUUUUUUAUAAUUUCGAC
rnacentral:lncRNA from 1 species